rnacentral:ncRNA from 1 species
GAAGUUUCCCUCAGGAUAGCUGGAGCACGCAACGUUUCGGAACCUAUUCUUAUCUGGUAAAGCGAAUGAUUAGAGGCCUUAGGUUCGAAAUGAUCUUAACCUAUUCUCAAACUAUAAAUGGGUACGUACCAUAGCAUUCUUGCAUGAUGCUGUUGCAACGUUGACGCCGGGUCGCCCCCCUGUCAGGGUGUGCCAUCCACAAGCGGCGUAGAAGAUAUCUGUGUGCUUAGUGGGCCAAGUUUUGGUAAGCAGAACUGGUGCUGUGGGAUGAACCAACGUAAUGUUACGGCGCCUAAAUAAACGACGCAUCAAGGUCGUCUUGAAAGGUCUCUCAAGUGACUAUAAGUCACCUGAAAAGAUCAAAUAUAGAAUA